CCUACGGGAGGCAGCAGUGAGGAAUAUUGGUCAAUGGACGAGAGUCUGAACCAGCCAAGUAGCGUGAAGGAUGACUGCCCUAUGGGUUGUAAACUGCUUUUAUAUGGGAAUAAAACAGGGUAUGCAUACCCUCUUGCAUGUACCAUAUGAAUAAGGAUCGGCUAAUGCCGUGCCAGCAGCCGCGGUAAUACGGAGGAUCCGAGCGUUAUCCGGAUUUAUUGGGUUUAAAGGGAGCGUAGGUGGCUUGUUAAGUCAGUUGUGAAAUUUUGGGGCUCAACCGUGAAAUUGCAGUUGAAACUGGCAGUCUUGAGUCCGUUAGAGGUGGGCGGAAUUCGUGGUGUAGCGGUGAAAUGCUUAGAUAUCACGAAGAACUCCGAUUGCGAAGGCAGCUCACUGGACUGCAACUGACACUGAUGCUCGAAAGUGUGGGUAUCAAACAGGAUUAGAUACCCCAGUAGUC
rnacentral:rRNA from 1 species